rnacentral:rRNA from 1 species
GACGAACGCUGGCGGCGUGCUUAACACAUGCAAGUCGAACGGUGAAGGGGUCUGCUUUUGUGGGCCCUGGAUGAGUGGCGAACGGGUGAGUAACACGUGAGUAACCUGCCCCCUUCUUCUGGAUAACCGCAUGAAAGUGUGUCUAAUACGGGAUAUUCUGGGUCUGUCGCAUGAUGGGUCUGGGAAAGAUUUCGCCUUUGGGUGUUUUUGGUGGGGGAUGGGCUCGCGGCCUAUCAGCUUGGUGGUGGGGUGAUGGCCUACCAAGGCGGUGACGGGUAGCCGGCCUGAGAGGGUGGACGGUCACACUGGGACUGAGACACGGCCCAGACUCCUACGGGAGGGAGCAGUGGGGAAUAUUGCACAAUGGGCGCAAGCCUGAUGAAGCGACGCCGCGUGAGGGAUGGAGGCCUUCGGGUUGUAAACCUCUUUCGCCAGUGAAGCAGGCCUGCUCCUUGUGGGUGGGUUGACGGUAGCUGGAUAAGAAGCGCCGGCUAACUACGUG